UGGGGAAUAUUGCACAAUGGAGGGAACUCUGAUGCAGCGACGCCGCGUGAACGAAGAAGGCUUUCGAGUCGUAAAGUUCUUUUAUAUGGGAAGAUAAUGACGGUACCAUAAGAAAAAGCCCCGGCUAACUACGUGCCAGCAGCCGCGGUAAUACGUAGGGGGCUAGCGUUGUCCGGAAUCACUGGGCGUAAAGGGUUCGCAGGCGGAAACGCAAGUCAGGUGUAAAAGGCAGUAGCUUAACUACUGUAAGCAUUUGAAACUGCAUAUCUUGAGAAGAGUAGAGGUAAGUGGAAUUUUUAGUGUAGCGGUGAAAUGCGUAGAUAUUAAAAAGAAUACCGGUGGCGAAGGCGACUUACUGGGCUCAUUCUGACGCUGAGGAACGAAAGCGUGGGUAGCAAACAGG
rnacentral:rRNA from 2 species